UAUGCCCUAAUUUGGACCCGACGAUUAACCCUGGAAUUAGCGCCCGAAAGACCUCCUCUCCCCCUUCCCUAAUCUUCCCACAGCCGGUGGCGGCGGCGGCGUCUCUCUCUCUACGUGAAGGCGAUGGAUUCUGACGACGGGAAGCUCUUCAUUGGGGGUCUCUCGUGGGAUACCACGGAGGAAAGGCUCAGGGAGCACUUCAGCGACCAUGGCGAGGUCCUUGAUGCCGUCAUCAUGAGGGACAAGGCCACCGGCCGCCCCAGAGGUUUUGGGUUCGUCGUCUUUGCCGACCCCUCUAUACUCGAGCGUGUCCUCCAGGACAAGCACGUCAUUGAUGGCCGCACCGUGGAAGCCAAAUGGGCGCUUUCGAGGGAAGAACAACAAACAUCUGCAAGAUCUGGAAAUCUGAAUUCUGGAAAUUUUAAUGCUGGUAGGUCAGCUGGAGCAAGUUCUGGUGCAAACAUAAGAACCAAGAAGAUAUUUGUUGGAGGCUUGCCUCCUACUCUAACAGAGGAUGGGUUUCGUCAAUACUUUGAGUCCUUCGGAACAGUGACGGAUGCAGUUGUGAUGUAUGAUCAAAACACUCAUCGACCUCGAGGCUUUGGGUUCAUCUCCUUCGAAUCAGAGGAUACUGUAGAUAAUGUUCUUCAGAAGACGUUUCAUGAUCUGAAUGGAAAGGCUGUCGAAGUUAAGCGUGCUCUUCCAAAAGAUGCAAAUUCAAAUACUGGCAGUGGCCGAUCCAUGGGAAGUGGAUCUCAUCAAUCUUAUGGUGGUUCUAGUGGUAAUGCUAGCUUGUAUGAUAGCAGGACUGAUUCUAAUAGGUACAUUCAACCUCAAGGAGCUGGUGGUGGGCUUCCACCAUAUGGUUCCUCUGGCUAUGGUGCGCCUAGUUAUGGAUAUGGAGCAGCAAAUAAUGGUGUUGGAUAUGCAGGUUAUGGUGUUGGGGGUUAUGGGACUGGUGCUACUGGGUAUGCUGGACCUGCUGGUACCUAUGGAAAUCCUAAUGCUCCUAUGUCUGGUUAUGUAGGAGGCUCUCCAGGAGCUCAAAGAAAUCUCUGGAAUAAUCAGGUUCCUGGUUAUGGCUCUGCAGGAUAUGGUGGAACUGCAUCUUAUGGUCCAGCUCCUUCAUGGAAUGCUUCAACACCCAGUGGAGGAUCUGGUACAACACCGACAGGUCAAAGUGGUACUUCUGGGUACAUGGGCCAAGGUUAUGGGUAUGGUGGAUAUGGAGGGCCGGAAGGACCUUAUGGCAAUCAAGGUGGCUACGGCUCCUAUGGCACUCGUGGUAAUGGUGGUCCUAUUACUAAUUUUGCAGGCAAUGCAGGAGAACAAGGAGGCUCUGCUUACUCUGGUGGAGGUUAUACUAAUGCAAGCUCAGGUUAUCUCAAUUCUUGGAAGUCAGAACCUUCACAGGCUGGGUCAUACGGAUCUCCUCAGGUUAAUGGUCCUCCUGGUGCUCAAGCUAGUUAUGGAGGUGGUUAUGGUGGUCCUCAAGGCAGGCAAGUCCAGUAGCAGUGAAGGCAGGACCUUGGUUGGAAGCUCACCCUUCAGUGCUUAUCAGGAUAUAUCAUAUCUGGCAUUUAUGGAGAGCUAAAUUUAUCCUGGGCACUGCAGCAUGUGACUUUGGCACCACCUCCAAAUCGAGAAGCCUUUUACAGGUUGAGAGAGAGAAGCAUUCUCAAAGAGAGGUCGGAUGCCUGUGGUGUUUGUUUGAAGUUGGAACACUUAUCAUUGCUGGUUUGCAUUAUUCGGAAGUCAUGCUUCACAAAGGUGUCAUGGAGUAUUCUUUACAUUGUUAUGCCUAUCCUUGUGCUUGUUGUGAUUGCACUAAAACACCGGAGGUUCCCGACUAUAACUUACCAUGAAUUUUCCUUCUUUCUGGUGUAUCUGCAAAAUAUUGUUCUAGUUCCUUACCAGGUUUGGAAUUGUUUGUCUUGCUGAAAAACUGAUUAGCCUGAAUGUAUUAUGCACCAAUUGAUUUUGCCUAAACUCUGGAGGUUGCUGAAAGACCAUAAUUCAAUAUUUGUGAA